UGGGCGUUAAGAACAAUUGGGAAGCUGCGGGAACUAUCUUCACCUCCUUGAGGGUCAAAUAAUUAGAUUCGUAUUCCCUUAAAUAAACUUAGAUUUCGCGGAAUGCUGGCGACAUUUGUGAGGUACUAUGCCAUGCCAUGCCAGGGGCAAAAUUCUGCAAAAUGUUAUGAUGUUCUCGCCCUCUGCGCUACUUCGGUGGUGCUAUUCCAUUCCCUUAAUAGAAUGUUCAUGGGAAAAAUUUGGUAUUUGACUGAAUUGAUCUUUACAUUCACAUAAGUUUUCUUUGGUCUGUGUCAAUUUUAUUAGCUUAAUAAUAUCAAAAUUGUCAUUAAGCGUAUGUUUAGAAAUAAUAAGAUUAGGGUUUUGGGUCAAUUUGUGAUCCAUUUCUGAUGAACUUAGCCAUCGCUUCUCAAUGAUCCAGCACAGACCGAUGAUCCGUUAUGAGCACUUAUCAGAACUUUUCCAUUUGGGAUGAGGCAUCUAAUGUCUUAAUACAUAAAGACUCCUUUCGUAUGUCAGCAGGGUGCCAGUUCUUCUGUCCUUCCAAACUGUUUUUCAGUUCUCGCGGAACAGAGGAAUGCUCAAAGUUCGAAAUGCCUCCCCAGUCUCGGAUAAAUGUUAAUUACAUUGCAUUAGAAGUAAAAUUGAAGGGGAAAUGAAUUAUAG